GACGAACGCUGGCGGCGUGCUUAACACAUGCAAGUCGAACGGAAAGGCCCUGCUUGUGUGGGGUGCUCGAUUGGCGAACGGGUGAGUAACACGUGAGUAACCUGCCCUUGACUUUGGGAUAACUUCAGGAAACUGGGGCUAAUACCGUAUAGGAUCUCCUGCUGCAUGGUGGGGGUUGGAAAGUUUCGGCGGUUGGGGAUGGACUCGCGGCUUAUCAGCUUGUUGGUGGGGUAGUGGCUUACCAAGGCUUUGACGGGUAGCCGGCCUGAGAGGGUGACCGGGCACCUUGGGCCUGCGAUACGGAGCAGACUCCUACGGGAGGCAGCAGUGGGGAAUAUUGCACAAUGGGACGAAGUCUGAUGAAGAAACGCCGCGUGCGGGAUGACGGCCUUCGGGUUGUAAACCGCUUUCGCCUGUGACGAAGCGUGAGUGACGGUAAUGGGUAAAGAAGCACCAGCUAACUACGUG
rnacentral:rRNA from 1 species